GAUGAACGCUGGCGGCGUGCCUAAUACAUGCAAGUCGAGCGGAAAGACCCUUCGGGAUACUCCAGCGGCGGAGGGGUGAGUAAGGGGUAAGAAUGUACCCCACAGUGCGGAAUAAGUGCUCGACAGAGUAGCAAAUGCCGCAAGAGCUCAUCGGAGGCCAGCUUCAUGCGCUUUGGGCAUCGCUUGCGUUUGAUUAGCUAGUUGGUAAGGUAACGGCUUACCAAGGCGACGAUCAGUAGCUGGUCUGAGAGGAUGAUCAGCCACACUGGGACUGAGACACGGCCCAGACUCCUACGGGAGGCAGCAGUGGGGAAUUUUGCACAAUGGGCGCAAGCCUGAUCCAGCAAUGCCGCGUGCGGGAAGAAGGCCUUCGGGUUGUAAACUGCUUUUGUACGGGGAGAAAAGGUCUCCGCGAAUACAGGGGGGUCAUGACGGUACCGUAAGAAUAAGCACCGGCUAACUACGUGCCAGCCGCCGCAGUAA
rnacentral:rRNA from 1 species